rnacentral:rRNA from 1 species
UACGUAGGGCGCAAGCGUUGUCCGGAAUUAUUGGGCGUAAAGAGCUUGUAGGUGGCUCGUUGCGUCGGGAGUGAAAACCUGCGGCUUAACCGCAGGCCUGCUUCCGAUACGGGCGAGCUAGAGUUCGGCAGGGGAGACUGGAAUUCCUGGUGUAGCGGUGGAAUGCGCAGAUAUCAGGAGGAACACCGGUGGCGAAGGCGGGUCUCUGGGCCGUUACUGACGCUGAGGAGCGAAAGCGUGGGGAGCGAACAGG